CCAGGCUUUUAUCACCUUUCCCAAUAAGGAGAUAGCAUGGCAAGCAUUGCAUCUAGUAAAUGGAUACAAACUACAUGGGAAAAUAUUGGUGAUAGAGUUUGGAAAGAACAAAAAGCAACGGUCAAAUCUCCAAGCGACUUCUCUCAUAUCAUGUGCUACAGGCAUAUGAAUUUUAGAAGAGGAACAUACAAGCAAAGAAUGCCAAAGGGAAAUGGAAAUAAAGCGUUCUCUAGAAAAGAGGAUGCCAGUCACAAAUCCCCCAGUUGUUUAUGGUUGCUGGAAAAUAAAAAGACAAUAUACGGAGAGGAAGUAGUACAAACUGGAGUCA
rnacentral:sRNA from 1 species